rnacentral:tRNA from 1 species
GCCGGAGUGGCGGAAUAGGCAGACGCACCGCACUCAAAAUGCGGCGAGACUUGCGCUCGUACCGGUUCGACCCCGGUCUCCGGUA